UACGAAGGGGGCUAGCGUUGUUCGGAAUUACUGGGCGUAAAGGGCGCGUAGGCGGUGUGUCAAGUCAGGCGUGAAAGCCCCGGGCUCAACCUGGGAACAGCGCUUGAGACUGGCACGCUCGAGUUCGGGAGAGGAUGGUGGAAUUCCCAGUGUAGAGGUGAAAUUCGUAGAGAUGUGGAGGAACACCGAUGGCGAAGGCAGCCUUCUGGGCCAACACUGACGCUCAUGCACGAAAGCGUGGGGAGCAAACAGG
rnacentral:rRNA from 1 species